rnacentral:rRNA from 1 species
AACGGCGAGUGAACAGGGAAAAGCCCAGCGCCGAAGCCUCCGUCCCGAGCGGGCGGUAGGCAAUGUGGCGUUCGGGAGAAACCUCUCCUUCCGGAAGCUGUCUGGGAGCCCAGGUCCCCCUGACCGGGGCCAUCGCCCGUUGAGGGUGCAAGGCCCGUGCGGCUCUCGGCGUCCGGAGGACGGUUUUAUUUCUCCCGGGAGUCGGGUUGCUUGGGAGUGCAGCCCUAAGAGGGUGGUAAACUCCAUCUAAGGCUAAAUACUUCCACGAGACCGAUAGCAAACAAGUACCGUGAGGGAAAGUUGCAAAGAACUUUGAAGAGAGAGUUCAAGAGUACGUGAAACCGCUCGUAGGUAAACGGGUGGGCCCUCGAAGGCAAGCAGGAGGGGAUUCAACCCGUUGGCAGUCGACCGUGCACGGCGGUUUUUCUCGAAACGGAUCCGAGAGACCGGCCCGUUGGUGCCGCGGUCGUCAGCGGGCGCACUUCCCCUUCUCGCGUCUCGUCUCUGUAGGCGAGACCGAACGCCGCGACCGGUCGGGAGAUACGACGGCGGCCAAGCGGCGAGACUGGGCAGGUAUCCUACUCGUCCUUUCUGUCCGUUAAGCCCACUCUCGGGUGGGUGGGCAGGAUGGCUUGUAGGAGUUUCAGCCCGUCUCGACCCGGCUCCGCCGCCCGACCGUGGUCUAGAACCGAGGUUCGACAACCGCGCACGCGCUCUGACGCUCGAGCCCGUCCCGCACGUAGGGUUUUUCUGGCCGCCGAUAGACCCCUCCCCCCCGCUCAGGCGGUUACAUGAAGCGGUCGCCCUGCGUUGCGUCCCUAGGACGUGUGCUCUCGAACGAUAGGAUUUUUUUUUUUUUUUAAAAAAGGAGUCYUACGUUGCGCUUGUGGUCGGCGGCGAGUAGGUCGGUAACCCACCCGACCCGUCUUGAAACCCGGGCCCAGGAGUUUAACAUGUGUGCGAGUCGUAGGGUUCGUCCGAAACCCGAAGGCGCAGUGAAAGUAGAGGUCGGACGUCUCUUCGGGGAUGUCUGUACCGAGGCGGGAUCCGUCUAUUUUUUUAUUCUUUCGCAAGAAAGGGAGAAGAAUUUGAAGAAUGAAACUAUUUGUUUCUUCCUUUUCUCCUUCGGGGGUUUAGGAGAAACAGUGUUUUUUUUUUUGGACGGCGCACCGCCGGCCCGUCUCGACCGCCACGUCGGUGAGGCGGAGCAAGAGCACACACGUUGGGACCCGAAAGAUGGUGAACUAUUCCUAGGCAGGACGAAGCCAGAGGAAACUCUGGUGGAGGUCCGUAGCGUUUCUGACGUGCAAAUCGAUCGUCAGACCUGGGUAUAGGGGCGAAAGACUAAUCGAACCAUCUAGUAGCUGGUUCCCUCCGAAGUUUCCCUCAGGAUAGCUGGCUCUCGAGACACACAGUCUCAUCCGGUAAAGCGAAUGAUUAGAGGCCUUGGGGCCGAAACGACCUCAACCUAUUCUCAAACUUUCAAUGGGUGAGAAGUCCGGCUUGCUUGACUUGAAGCCCGGACGUCGGAUGCGAGUGCCCAGUGGGCCACUUUUGGUAAGCAGAACUGGCGCUGUGGGAUGAACCAAACGCCGGGUUACGGCGCCAAAUGCGACGCUCAUCAGACACCAUGAAAGGUGUUGGUUGCUAUAGACAGCAGGACGGUGGCCAUGGAAGUCGGAAUCCGCUAAGGAGUGUGUAACAACUCACCUGCCGAAGCAACUAGCCCUGAAAAUGGAUGGCGCUCAAGCGUCGAGCCUAUACCCGGCCGCCGGGGCAGAGCCCGCUUGUGUUUGUUUUUUUUUUUUCCGUCAAAAAGAAAAGAGAAAAAUUUAUAGAUAAACGGCCCCAGACGCCCCGGCGAGUAGGAGGGUCGCGGCGGUGAGCGGAAAAGGGUCGGGCGUAGGCCCGCCUGGAGCCUCCGCCGGUGCAGAUCUUGGUGGUAGUAGCAAAUACUCGAGUGAGAACCUUGAGGACUGAUGUGGAGAAGGGUUCCAUGUGAACAGCAGUUGAACAUGGGUCAGUCGGCCCUAAGGAAUAGGGAAAUCCCGUUCCGAACGGGGGGGUGUAUAUAAAAUUGAUAAGAAAAAACCCCCGCCCAGACCGAAAGGGAAUCGGGUUAAUAUUCCCGAACCCGGACACGGAGAUCGGGCCCAUCGUGGUCCAGUGCGGUGACGCAAGCCACCUCGGAGACGUCGGCGGGAGUCCCGGGAAGAGUUGUCUUUUCUUUGUAAGGGACGGAAUCCCUGGAAUCGGUUCGCCCGGAGAUAGGGAUGUGGUUUCCGUAAAGCACCGCGCCUCCUGCGGUGUCCGGACAGCUCUCGUCGGCCCUUGAAAAUCCGAGGAAGGUAGUGCGAUUUUCGUGCCGGGCCGUACCCAUAUCCGCAGCAGGUCU